GACGAACGCUGGCGGCGUGCUUAACACAUGCAAGUCGAACGGAAAGGCCCUGCUUUUGUGGGGUGCUCGAGUGGCGAACGGGUGAGUAACACGUGAGUAACCUGCCCUUGACUUUGGGAUAACUUCAGGAAACUGGGGCUAAUACCGGAUAGGAGCUCCUGCUGCAUGGUGGGGGUUGGAAAGUUUCGGCGGUUGGGGAUGGACUCGCGGCUUAUCAGCUUGUUGGUGGGGUAGUGGCUUACCAAGGCUUUGACGGGUAGCCGGCCUGAGAGGGUGACCGGCCACAUUGGGACUGAGAUACGGCCCAGACUCCCACGGGAGGCAGCAGUGGGGAAUAUUGCACAAUGGGCGGAAGCCUGAUGCAGCAACGCCGCGUGCGGGAUGACGGCCUUCGGGUUGUAAACCGCUUUCGCCUGUGACGAAGCGUGAGUGACGGUAAUGGGUAAAGAAGCACCGGCUAACUACGU
rnacentral:rRNA from 1 species